AUUGAACGCUGGCGGCAGGCCUAACACAUGCAAGUCGAGCGGAUGAAGGGAGCUUGCGCCUGGAUCCAGCGGCGGACGGGUGAGUAAUGCCUAGGAAUCUGCCUGGUAGGGGGGGAUAACGUCCGGAAACGGGCGCUAAUACCGCAUACGGUCAGAGGGAGAAAGUGGGGGAUCUUUGGACCUCACGCUAUCAGAUGAGCCUAGGUCGGAUUAGCUAGUUGGUGGGGUAAAGGCCUACCAAGGCGACGAUCCGUAACUGGUCUGCGAGGAUGAUCAGUCACACUGGAACUGAGACACGGUCCAGACUCCUACGGGAGGCAGCAGUGGGGAAUAUUGGACAAUGGGCGAAAGCCUGAUCCAGCCAUGCCGCGUGUGUGAAGAAGGUCUUCGGAUUGUAAAGCACUUUAAGUUGGGAGGAAGGGCAGUAAGUUAAUACCUUGCUGUUUUGACGUUACCAACAGAAUAAGCACCGGCUAACUUCGUG
rnacentral:rRNA from 1 species